GCCAGACUCCUACGGGAGGCAGCAGUGGGGAAUAUUGCACAAUGGGGGAAACCCUGAUGCAGCAACGCCGCGUGAGUGAAGAAGUAUUUCGGUAUGUAAAGCUCUAUCAGCAGGGAAGAAGAUGACGGUACCUGACUAAGAAGCCCCGGCUAACUACGUGCCAGCAGCCGCGGUAAUACGUAGGGGGCAAGCGUUAUCCGGAAUUACUGGGUGUAAAGGGAGCGCAGACGGCAGUGCAAGUCUGGAGUGAAAGUCCGUGGCUUAACCACGGGACUGCUCUGGAAACUGUGCAGCUAGAGUGCAGGAGAGGCAGGCGGAAUUCCUAGUGUAGCGGUGAAAUGCGUAGAUAUUAGGAGGAACACCGGUGGCGAAGGCGGCCUGCUGGACUGUAACUGACGUUGUGGCUCGAAAGCGUGGGGAGCAAACAGGAUUAGAUACCCGCGUAU
rnacentral:rRNA from 1 species